CGGUCCUAAGGUAGCGAAAUUCCUUGUCGGGUAAGUUCCGACCUGCACGAAAGGCGCAACGACUUGGGCGCUGUCUCGACCAUGGACCCGGUGAAAUUGCACUGGUCGUGAAGAUGCGACUUACCCGCGGAAGGACGGAAAGACCCCGUGAACCUUCACUGCAGCUUGGCAUUGGCCGCUGGUCCCGCGUGUAGAGGAUAGGCAGGAGGCAUCGAUCCGGAGGCGCCAGCCCCCGGGGAGCCGCCCUUGGAAUACUGCCCUCGCGCGACCGGCGUCCUAACCCGAGGCCGUCAACCGGCUCGGGGACCGUGCCAGGCGGGCAGUUUGACUGGGGCGGUCGCCUCCUAAAGGGUAACGGAGGCGCGCGAAGGUCCGCUCGGGACGGUCGGCAACCGUCCUUUUGAAUGCAAGAGUACAAGCGGGCUUGACUGCGAGGCCCACAAGCCGAGCAGGUGCGAAAGCAGGCUCUAGUGAUCCGGCGGCCCCGAGUGGGUGGGCCGUCGCUCAACGGAUAAAAGGUACUCCGGGGAUAACAGGCUGAUCUUGCCCAAGAGUCCACAUCGACGGCAAGGUUUGGCACCUCGAUGUCGGCUCAUCGCAUCCUGGGGCUGGAGCAGGUCCCAAGGGUACGGCUGUUCGCCGUUUAAAGCGGUACGCGAGCUGGGUUCAGAACGUCGUGAGACAGUUCGGUCCCUAUCCUCCGUGGGCGCAGGAGAAUCGAUGGAGGCUGCCCCCAGUACGAGAGGACCGGGGUGGACGCACCUCCGGUGAACCGGUUGUCGACCAACGGCACGGCCGGGUAGCCGCGUGCGGCGCGGAUAACCGCUGAAGGCAUCUAAGCGGGAAGCCGUUCCAGGGAUUAGUUCUCCUUCCGGUAAGGGCCCAGGUAGACUACCUGGUCGAUAGACGGCAGGUGCAAGGCUGGCGACAGCCUCAGCCGAGCCGCACUAAUCGCCCGAGCUCUUCCGGAA
rnacentral:rRNA from 1 species